UACGGAGGGUGCGAGCGUUGUCCGGAAUCACUGGGCGUAAAGGGCGCGUAGGCGGCCUGGCAAGUCGAUGGUGAAAGCCCGUGGCUCAACUACGGGUCGGCCAUUGAUACUGCUAGGCUCGAGUCGACUAGAGGCAGAUGGAAUUCCGGGUGUAGCGGUGGAAUGCGUAGAGAUCCGGAAGAACACCGGCGGCGAAGGCGGUCCGCUGGGGUCGAACUGACGCUGAGGCGCGACAGCGUGGGGAGCAAACAGG
rnacentral:rRNA from 1 species